GAAGAGUGAUGAGGUGAAUAAUCCAGCAGAAGUGAAGACACAGACGAUCAGGAGCGUAAACAGGCUGAACCGUUUCUUCUGCAGUAUGCCACGUAAUGUCCAAGAGAUUGUCUUGUUGGUCCUGAAAUGAAUGCGACAACCCCUCGCAAAGUGAACAGCUGAUUGUCCAGCUCCAUGUGGACCGGGAUUUCCGAAAGUGGAUGGUUUGUAUCCAUACUUGUUUCGAUACACAACAGUUGUCCAGUUAUGCAUCUGUGUGUUACCGAGCCAUUACAGAGGAAUUUCACUGAUUGAUCAUCCUUAACUUUCCAGCUGUCUGGACACUCUUGGGGUGAUUUCAGUGGCUUCAAGCAUUUGGACCUGUUGAGGUGUAGACCAUCUUCCAGCGCUGCUUGGAGGCUCUUCAGUCCACCAGUUUGUAAAAUAUCUACAUUUACUGGUAGGAGAUAGAUGGUCCUAGACGAUUUCGUAUGUCGGCUGCAGUAUGGAGAAGAGCACUCAGCUGUAAGUGUUGCACUUGGCAUUUCUUUCAUUGUGGAAGCGAUAAUGUCUGCAACAUUGCAAUCCGCAUUGACCUGCCUCACACCUGAUUUUAGGUGAACACACUCAAAUGUAUCCAACAGCAUUUUUGCCCUCUUUGCAUAAGCCUCUUUUGCAACUCCUUUUGUCACUAUGGUCUUUACUAAAUCAACCAUGUCAGUUUGCUCUCUGUUGAGAUAAUGACAAAAUGACCCACUGUCGCAGAAUGCAGAGCAAAGGCACUGGCAAAAGGAAUCAAAGGCACAGGUUUAUGUCUGCAUGCAACCACUCAGAGCAAGGGGUCAAGUAGGACAGUCGCUUUUUUGGAGGAACACCGAGGCCUUUCCAGUUUUCAACAGGGUCUUCCUCCACUGACUGUUGCUUAACCUCUGUGUCCUGCUCACUAUGGGCCGUUUUUGUCUUCUGAUUCUUUGUCUCAGUGUGCUCUGUCUUCACCGGUGCAGAGGAAAGCCUCAUGUUUCCCUCAAGAAACUCAAGGUGGCGUAUGACAAAACGGUCAAUUCGGAUGGGGAGACUUUCAUGUUUGAAAAGACCAUGUUUUAUGUUUUUAAAUUCAGCCUCAACAUUUUCAGAGCUUGCUGUGUUGUGUACACUUUUGAAGUGUGGAA